CCUUCAACGCCGUGUUGACCGGUGCUCUGAGGUUUGUGCAGGCCAAGCUGGCCAACCGGGCCAAAUAUUCCUCGUGAGAUCUUGCAUGGGGUGAUGCGAGUAGUCAAACAUGCCCUAAUAAUAAAAUGUGAACACAAAUAAAUAAAUUAUUAACAUGCUUAAAGAUAUUAUUUAUGUUUAACACCUUGCAUGUCGUUACGGUUGAUCAGAAUUGAUCAUCGUGCGAUUUGUAGUAGAUAGUUGUUACCGAGAAGUGGAUACUUGUUACCGAGACAACAUUGGAUUAAUGUAGUAGAUAGUUGUUCUUUGUUCAUCCUAACUUGGCUCAAAUAAUCACAUGGUCUCAACACCUUCCUUAUAGGCGAGCCGAGCAUCCAAUGCAUCUCCAGUUGUUCUUGGAACAGCAAAACAAGCAAAAUGGUGCCUAAACUCAUUGAGACCAUCGAGUUAGAAUACAAACAAUACAUAGGACAAACUCCACAUACAUAUGUGCAUAUAGAUAGGAAUUUGAAUUUCAUGCACACUUUAGCCAAUUUAUGACAAGGUGGAGUUUCCCCUAUAUAUUGGGUCAUAGAAAGAGUGCAAGCAAAAGAAGCUGUAUAUAGUAGAUAUGCAUGCUCAAGAC
rnacentral:lncRNA from 1 species